GACCUCGUAGACAAGUGGUGAAGUCAUAAGGCUUUCAACCUUAUAUCGCGGGUUCGACUCCCGCCGAGGCCA
rnacentral:tRNA from 1 species